AUCCAGCUGACGAGUUCCAAAUAGGACGAAACACGAGUCCUGAAU
rnacentral:hammerhead_ribozyme from 1 species